GGGAAUGUGGCUUAAUGGUAGAGUGCUUGCCUAGCAUGCGUGAAACUCUAGGUUCAACUCCUCAGUGCCA
rnacentral:tRNA from 1 species